rnacentral:rRNA from 1 species
AUGGAACACUGGCGGCAUGAUUUACACAUGCAAGUCGAACGGUAACAGGCCGCAAGGUGCUGACGAGUGGCGGACGGGUGCGUAAUGCAUCGGAACGUGCCCAGUCGUGGGGGAUAACUACUCGAAAGAGUAGCUAAUACCGCAUACGAUCUAUGGAUGAAAGCGGGGGACCGUAAGGCCUCGCGCGAUUGGAGCGGCCGAUGUCAGAUUAGGUAGUUGGUGGGGUAAAGGCUCACCAAGCCAACGAUCUGUAGCUGGUCUGAGAGGACGACCAGCCACACUGGGACUGAGACACGGCCCAGACUCCUACGGGAGGCAGCAGUGGGGAAUUUUGGACAAUGGGCGCAAGCCUGACCCAGCAAUGCCGCGUGCAGGAAGAAGGCCUUCGGGUUGUAAACUGCUUUUGUACGGAACGAAACGGCUCUGGUUAAUACCCGGGGCUAAUGACGGUACCGUAAGAAUAAGCACCGGCUAACUACGUG